rnacentral:rRNA from 1 species
AAAGGAUGUGGGAUUGCACAGACAACCAGGAUGUUGGCUUAGAAGCAGCCACUCAUUCAAAGAGUGCGUAAUAGCUCACUGGUCGAGUGAUCCUGCGCCGAAGAUUUCCGGGGCUAAAACUUACUACCGAAGCUACGGCAUCAGUAAUGAUGGGUAGGGGAGCUUCCCAUACGGGUUGAAGCAUGACCGUAAGGACAUGUGGACAGUAUGGGAGUGAGAAUGUUGGCAUGAGUAGCGAGAUGUGGGUGAGAAUCCCACAGGCCGUAAACCCAAGGUUUCCAGGGGAAGGUUCGUCCGCCCUGGGUUAGUCGGGACCUAAGCUGAGGCCGAAAGGCGUAGGUGAUGGACAACAGGUUGAUAUUCCUGUACUACCGAUAACCGUUUGAGAGAAGGGAUGACACAGUAGGAUAAGCUAAGCACACUGUUGGUUAUGUGUGCCCAAGCAUUGAGGCAGUCAAAGUAGGCAAAUCCGCUUUGAUAAUGCUGGGAUGUGAUGGGGAGCGAAAUUUAGUAGCGAAGUAGCUGAUUUCACACUGUCA